rnacentral:rRNA from 1 species
UACGUAGGGUGCAAGCGUUGUCCGGAAUUACUGGGCGUAAAGGGCGCGUAGGCGGCCUUCUAAGUCAGACGUGAAAUCCCUCGGCUCAACCGGGGAACUGCGUCUGAGACUGGAAGGCUUGAAUCCGGGAGAGGGAUGUGGAAUUCCAGGUGUAGCGGUGAAAUGCGUAGAUAUCUGGAGGAACACCGGUGGCGAAGGCGGGUCUCUGGGCCGAUACUGACGCUGAGGAGCGAAAGCGUGGGGAGCGAACAGG